rnacentral:rRNA from 1 species
GAUGAACGCUAGCUACAGGCUUAACACAUGCAAGUCGAGGGGAAACGACAUCGAAAGCUUGCUUUUGAUGGGCGUCGACCGGCGCACGGGUGAGAAACGCGUAUCCAACCUGCCCACCACUUGGGGAUAACCUUGCGAAAGUAAGACUAAUACCCAAUGACGUCUCUAGAAGACAUCUGAAAGAGAUUAAAGAUUUAUCGGUGAUGGAUGGGGAUGCGUCUGAUUAGCUUGUUGGCGGGGUAACGGCCCACCAAGGCGACGAUCAGUAGGGGUUCUGAGAGGAAGGUCCCCCACAUUGGAACUGAGACACGGUCCAAACUCCUACGGGAGGCAGCAGUGAGGAAUAUUGGUCAAUGGACGAGAGUCUGAACCAGCCAAGUAGCGUGCAGGAGGACGGCCCUAUGGGUUGUAAACUGCUUUUAUAAGGGAAUAAAGUGAGUCUCGUGAGACUUUUUGCAUGUACCUUAUGAAUAAGGACCGGCUAAUUCCGUG